CGAACGGGUGAGUAAUAUAUUGGAACGUACCGAGUAAUGAGGGAUAACCAAUCGAAAGAUUGGCUAAUACCGCAUACGCUCUGAGGAGGAAAGCAGGGGACCUUCGGGCCUUGCGUUAUUCGAGCGGCCAAUAUCUGAUUAGCUAGUUGGUGGGGUAAAGGCCUACCAAGGCGACGAUCAGUAGCGGGUCUGAGAGGAUGAUCCGCCACACUGGGACUGAGACACGGCCCAG
rnacentral:rRNA from 1 species